CUAUGAUACUGCAAGAUAUAGGAAUGUGCAAAACAACGCAAGGGAAGAAUAGAAAAUCUAACAGAAUUAAAAGAUAGAGGAACAGGAACGAAAUGAAAAACUGGAUCAAAGGAAACUGAAGCACAUUCCUCCAUCCAUAUACAGAUCAGCCCAACAGAACUUUGCAGAGGUAAUAAAAUACUUUGGCAAUUACUAUUGACAGUUCUGGAUAAUCUUGAAGGCUGCCUUGCCUGAAGAAGAUGAGUGUUACAAAUCACUUCAGUGAAAGAGGGAAGAACAGCAGCAGGCAGCAGACAGGUUUCAAUUUCACAAUGCUGAUUAUCUCAUUCGCGAUUCCAUGCAUGCCUAAAUCUGAGAAUCCCUCAAGCAGCUAUAUGGACUUCUACUUUUAAAAUGCCUAUUACGCUUUCAUACUUUCUCCUGCUUCCUGAAGAGUGCCAUUUCGCCAAGCUUAAAUAGCAGAAAAUUGCAAUGCUUUUUCCUCUGCCCAUCUCCUCAAUCUCUAUUAACCUGCACAAGAACAAAGGAGUAUGAUGGUCUGGCUAUAGGCUGAGAAAUAGGUUUGAAGUUGUUUUUCAUUUACUGGUUCUCAUCUUUUUGAUUCAUCAAUGCAUCUCCAACAAUAUCCUUCUUUUUAUACCUAAGCAAAUUACUGAAAAUACAAUCCUUCCCCCCCCCAAAUAUGUAAACGCAUUUGUCUUUAUGCAUCUGUAGGAGGCUGACGCCUGUGCAGCACACACACAUGCACACACGCACACAUAGACGUUAUUAUUUACAUCAACACCAAAUGAUACCGUGUGGCUUUUAG